GACGAACGCUGGCGGCGUGCUUAACACAUGCAAGUCGAACGGAAAGGCCCUGCUUUUGUGGGGUGCUCGAGUGGCGAACGGGUGAGUAACACGUGAGUAACCUGCCCUGGACUUUGGGAUAACUUCAGGAAACUGGGGCUAAUACCGGAUAGGUGCUCCUGCUGCAUGGGGGGGGUUGGAAAGUAUCGGCGGUGGGGGGUGGGCGCGCGGCUUAUCAGCUUGUUGGUGGGGUAGUGGCUUACCAGGGCUUUGACGGGUAGCCGGCCUGAGAGGGUGACCGGCCACAUUGGGACUGAGAUACGGCCCAGACUCCUACGGGAGGCAGCAGUGGGGAAUAUUACACAAUGGGCGGAAGCCUGAUGCAGCAACGCCGCGUGCGGGAUGACGGCCUUCGGGUUGUAAACCGCUUUCGCCUGUGACGAAGCGUGAGUGACGGUAAUGGGUAAAGAAGCACCGGCUAACUACGUG
rnacentral:rRNA from 1 species